GCGGUAGAUCGGAUGUUCGCUUUAUUCCAGCUUAAAGGCAGGAAGACAAGAGGAAAGUCCGGGCUCCACCGAGCGGCGUAGCGGCUAAUGACCGUCCGUUGAAAGACGAGGAUAGCGCUGGGCAAUGCCUUUGGCAUUGCCCGCGCAUCCGGAUGCUAUGCAUCCGGAUAGAGCCACAGAGACGAGUCCUGUCCCGAAAGGGUGGGGGUGAAACGAGGCAAUCUCUACGCGGAGCAAGACCAAAUAGGGCCGGAACCUGGGGUGGCUCGCCCCAAUCCGUAUUCAUCGGUGUCCGGCCGGGUAAGGUCGCUGAUCCUUCUGCAAAAGCUCAGGAUAAACCCUGAGCGCAGUCGAAGGGCCGACCGCCGGAGCAAUCCGGCGGCUAGAUAGAUGAACAUCUCAUGCCGCGCAAGCGGCACAUGACAGAACCCGGCUUAUAGAUCUGCCUAACCG
rnacentral:RNase_P_RNA from 1 species